GUGAUUAUGAACUGUUGCCUUCUGUGCUGGCUGCGGCAAGUGCACGGAGGUGACUUUCAUCCAACACCCUUGUGAACCUUUGGCCUCUUGCUGGCUUCGGCUAGCUGAGGAUUUACACAAACUCGCAUGUAUUGAGGACCCAUUAUGUGCGCAAGCACUAAUAUA
rnacentral:misc_RNA from 1 species